GGUUAAGCGACUAAGCGUACACGGUGGAUGCCCUGGCAGUCAGAGGCGAUGAAGGACGUGCUAAUCUGCGAUAAGCGUCGGUAAGGUGAUAUGAACCGUUAUAACCGGCGAUUUCCGAAUGGGGAAACCCAGUGUGAUUCGUCACACUAUCAUUAACUGAAUCCAUAGGUUAAUGAGGCGAACCGGGGGAACUGAAACAUCUAAGUACCCCGAGGAAAAGAAAUCAACCGAGAUUCCCCCAGUAGCGGCGAGCGAACGGGGAGGAGCCCAGA
rnacentral:rRNA from 1 species